GUCUACUCUAUGUCCAGCUUGAUCACCAUGAGAUUUUAGCGGAUGGAGGCACGUCACAGAUCAUUCAUAAACUCCUGGACAAGUAAGACAUUGUCAAUGAUGCUAUAGCUGCUGACAAAAGCAUCCUGCUCGGACUAAUCAAACAAGGGACAAUCGGCUUCAACAGUCUGUCCAAAAUCCUGGCACAUACUUUAUAGUGGUGCAGAAAUUGAUCGGUUUGAAUUGCCUUAGAGUAGAUGCAUUGGGACGUUUCGGGAUGAGCGUAAUCAGAGUUUUCUUUCAUUCCUCUGGGAUCUCUAAAAUCGAAGACAAUCUAUAUAGCCUCCAUCACCUCCCCCCGGACGAUAAGCCAAUACCAACAGAAGAAGAGGGGGAAACCUAUUUGGCCCC
rnacentral:lncRNA from 1 species